AUGAGGGCCCCUGUGCAUCUCCUCAGCUUCCUGCUGCUCUGGCUCCCGGGUGCCAGAUGUAAUAUCCAGAUGACCCAGCCUCCAUACCUGUCUGCAUCUCUGGAAGACAAAGUCACCAUCACCUGCAAGGCCAGUCAGAACAUUGACAGAUAUUUAGCCUGGUAUCAGCAGAAACCAGGAAAAGCCCCCAGGUGCCUGAUCUAUAGGGCAAGCAAUUUAGGACCAGACGUCCCUUCCCGGUUCAGUGGCAGUGGAUCUGGGACAGAUUACACUCUCACCAUCAGCAGCUUCAAGGCUGAGGAUGCUGCCACUUAUUACUGCCAACAAGGUUAUCUUCUCCCACAGUGA